GAUCUCAGAGGUCAACAUCCGACGGCGCGGUGCGUUCUCGGAUGCUGCUUUG
rnacentral:sRNA from 11 species